UUUUGUCGAAGAAGCCCCCGAAUCUCUGUUCUCUCCAAUCUUUAUACCAGAGUGUACGUGACCCAAAGCACAGCACACUCACCGCCUUCAUUGGGACCACAGUCCUUCUUUGGCAAUCAUACCAGAGGAACCUUCGUCAACACCAGGCAUUCCAACACAUCUAUUUCUGUCUUAUCUUUCCUGGAAACCCUUGUUAAACCAUGUAUCUUGGACACUUGGCUGGACACUGAAUUUGAGAAAUGGAGCAGCUCUUUUUCCUACAUAAUCCCCCCUCAAGGUCGCAAAGUGACCUUCAACCAACGAGAACUCUACCGUCACAAGUUGGCAUCAGAACUGCACUGCAAAAAUUUAAAAUUGGUGCAACACAUAACAAAAUAUACUGAGUAAAAUAAUGUAUAUUUAUAACCCUCUAGGUACUUCACGAAGAUAAUACUGCAGUAUCUAUAAGUCUAGCAUAUGAUGCAAUUUUGAAUAUAUCAUUAGAAUAUAUCCAUUAGCUACCGAACACAUUAGUUGGCACUUCUUACUGUGUAUGUUGCUCACACCGGUAAAACAUCUCACAGAAACAAGUUUCCGUCAGUUUGCAGUGAUCAAACACAGUGGUCAAUAUCACACUCCAUUAUAUAUUUUUUUUUUUUUUUUUUUUCUUCACAAACUUUGUUUCAGUCCUGAAAAGUCUUCCAAGCGAUAUUCGCAGCCUCGCAUUCUUCUGAACCCUGAACCUGCAACCAGGUUGCAGGUCGCAGACUCUCUCUUUUGACAGCUCUGCAGUUCCGGACCUGCAGAGGGAGUCCCCUUUCCUUACCCUCCUUGCUUAUAGGGCAAUGACACGUGCGCUCCUACAGCUGCGGAAACCAGCUGUUCUUCAAAGAAUAAAAAGAAAAAGAAAAAUAAUUCCACCGCACUCCACAGGAAAUGAGAGAUACUUCCAACAGCUCCAGAGGUCUUUCAGCUUCUGUCGCAACUCCCACGUUGGGGUCACACACUCACGUCACUCCA